rnacentral:tRNA from 1 species
GGCAUGGUGGCUCAGUGGUUAGAGCGCCCGCCUCAUUAACGGGAAGUCGUGGGUUCGAACCCCGAGUCAUACCA